rnacentral:miRNA from 1 species
UGGCAUUCUUUCGAUAUAUCGAAGAAAUGGCAUUUUUUUCAAUAUAUCGAAGAAAUGGCAUUCUUUCGAUAUAUCGAAGAAAUGGCAUUCUUUCGAUAUAUCGAAGAAAUGCCAUUCUUUUAAUAUAUUGAAGAAAUGGCAAUCUUUCAAUAUAUCGAAGAAAUGGCA